UAAAAAGUGAUGAUGAAGUCCAGUAGUGGUGGACGAACUUGUUAGCGAACCCGGUCAAGUGCAAGCGGGUCAAGGUCCCUACCACGAACAUCCCUUCGGAGCUGUUAGCUGAAAUCCAAGUAAGUUUAUACCGGGAGCAUCCGUUAUCAAUGCAGUGAAUCGCGGGAGUGGUCAUUUCCCAAAUGUUCCUAGCUUUUGGGGCUUGUCCUCUAGGAGCCCGCCGUUCAUAGAUGAGGCUACUUUUUGAGUAGCAAAAACUAAGGUGGUACCGUGCGAACAGCACCCUUACA
rnacentral:ncRNA from 1 species